AUAAACAUGUUUGUUUUUGUGCAAAGUAUAGUUUCAGUCGCUACAGAUUUCUAGAUUUGUAUAUAAUUUUACUUUUCAGUCUCAGAGCACUAAAUAAAAAAUUUGUUAAACCAAUCAAAUAAUAUUUUUAUGGUUUCAAUUCUAUAUAUUAACCCCUAUAAACUUGAGACCUGGAAAUAAAAAAUGUAAUGAAACUAUAAGCCGAAUUAUGAACCCCAAAUCACUUUUUUCCUAUGAUCUUAUCCAAUGAAUUAUGAUUCUGAAGACAACCAAGAGAAGCAGCUAACUAAAUGACAGAACCCCAAGUGGGCAAAUGGGAAGCCGACUUAAAUGUUUCUUUAAAUUUUAGAGAGAUUAAGUGAAAUAUACCCAAAAAAGACCCAUAUUAGUUAAAUGCCCUAGUGGUGAUAAACUCCAAAUGCCUUCUACCCUUUUGGGCCUAGAAGGACAAUAAUACCCUUGCUUUUUUGAUAACAUCAUCGGCUGAACUACGAGUUGUGUCAGAGAAGAUAUGCAGAAGAAAUUUGGUGUAGAAUUGUUUGCAGGUGUAGACCUGACUGUAGAGGACGCUUCACUGAAGAAUCUGGUGGAUAAAGAGUAUUUUUUAUACAGCCUCCAAUGGCUUCGGUAAGUGGAUCUAUUUUUUUUUUUUGAACAAAAAGUGGAUCUAUGAUAUCUUAUGGAAAAGGGUACUUGAUACUAGGAUUUCUAGUGUAGAAUAUAUAACUUAGGAGACACAGAGAGAUUUGUGUGAGAGGUAAAUCUAAAACGAAAACUGUGAUUGAGAAUUUAAAGGGUAGCAACUCGUUUACAAAAAAGGUAAGAGAAUGUGUUUGUUGCUAACACGAAUUAUUUCUGUCAACUAUUUUGUUAACGGCUAUUCCUGAAGUUGAUUGUGUAAGGAAGGCAUUAUCUGAUAAGAGGAAGGGUAGGAUGCUGGACACUGUCGAUCAUGGAAAGCACUUUCUGAACUUGGAGCUGGGUUCAGGUUCAGGUUCACACACCCAGCAAUUUGGAACGGCUGAUGUCCUACCAAACGACGACGGUUCUGAUGAUUAUGGGAUUCUAGCUUCUGCGAGAACGCAAGGAGUGAUAGCCUUACAUUGAUCAACAUCACCUGAGGUGUGAGCUUCAAUCAAGAGCAUUGUCAUGAUGGUUGCCUCGUUCACCAGUCGGUUCCUCGCCAGCUGCAAACACUUUCGAAGGGAGGAUGAUUUCUUCCAUCUUAUGAUUAAGAAAUCAAAGCACUAUCUUUGACUAGAGUUUUGGUUUUAGGAGAAGAAAAAAAAAUUGGAUAAAAGAGGAAUGAAUCAGUGAAUUGAAAGUAGGUGGUUAUUAGAGGUUGAACUAAUGCUUAGACCGAUGGAAAAUGAUGUGUGUCCUGUCCUGACACUCAAUGCAGAGAGUCUCCUGACACUCAACGCACAGGGUCUAUGGUGUAGGGAAAAGCAGGUGGUAAGGGCAAAAUGGGAAGGAAAUUUGGCGUCAAAGAUAAUGGGUAUAUUGCAAAAUAGAGGUUGGUUUAGGUGCAUUGACACCAAUUUCUCUAAAUUUUAUUGGUCCACAUAAUUUGGUGGCCUAUUGUUUUUUUUUUUUUUUUCCCACUGAAAUUUUCAUUACUACCAUAAAAAAGAUACAUCGGUGAAAUCCUGAAGCCGGCGGAAAACGUAGAAAUCCCCGGAAACUAAACCCAAACACGGGAAGCUAUAACCCAAACAGACGGGUCUUGUUCAAACUACCGAAACAUCACCUAAACCCUUACAUUCCCUCAAAAACCCAAAGUUAAACAAUAAAGGAUAACAGAACAAAGACUUAAUUGUCUAUGACUAGCCGGAGAUCUUACUACGAACUGAGCAAGCGAGCACGCAAAGGUUGUGAAGGAGAGCAGAACCUCAUCUGAACCUCAUGUUCAAGAUGACAACACCAAACCACAAAAACCUCAUCUGAACCUCCUGUCCAAGAUGACAACACCAGAGCACAAAGACCUCAUCUGAAUCACUUGUUCACGAUGACAACAACCAAACCACAAUACCAUAGGCCAAACAUAACACCAGAGGGAACCACACCUGUGAAAUUUCAUCUUCAAUCGCCCCUUCAUCUGGACACCUCCACACUUCAACCUCAUUUUAUUGCUUCACGAGUUGAAGCCACCGAGGAAGAACGACCAAAGGCAAACCAGGAACACUUAUUCAAAGGACGAGAUAUGAUACCUUUAAAACACAGCAGGUGAAGAGAUGAACUGAACUUGUCUUCAUCUCAAACCCAUAAAACCUUCGACUGCUCCUCACAACACCACCUCACUGCUUCACCGUUGCAGAACCAAAGACCAACCAAGACCAACUCUAAAAUCCAAGACAGACUAACUGGGUUCAACCCCUAACAAAGAGUUGCAACACUACCCAAAACCGAUUGUAGACACAACGGCCACAUCACAACAGAGACACCAAGGCUCAGACUUUCACCUCGCUAGGAGACGCAGAUGGAGGCCAUAGAAGGGACCAACCCUUAACCACCACCGACAAACACCACUCUACGCACCCAGAACUACAAGAGGAUCACAGAUCUGAAAAACCAAAAGCUCAUAUAGAGUAUAUUCAGAACACGGGCAACUGGAGCAGCUCUAAAAGAAAGAGGAGAAGAGAUCUAAGAGAGGAAAGGGAGAAAAUACAGUUUUCAAGAUCAGAUCCGGCGACCGCGAGGGAUGGCGGCCGCCGAGUUAGGGUUCUAUCACGAGAGCGUUUCAGAAGUAAACACUAAUCAAUUUAAUU